GACGAACGCUGGCGGCAUGCCUAAUACAUGCAAGUCGAGCGAACUGACGGAGGAACUUGUUCCUCUUGACGUGAGCGGCGGACGGGUGAGUAACACGUGGGAAACCUACCUUUCAGCGGGGGAUAACGUUCGGAAACGGACGCUAAUACCGCAUAACGUUAACAGUCGCAUGAUUGUUAAAUAAAAGACGGCUCUGCUGUCACUGAAAGAUGGACCCGCGGUGCAUUAGUUAGUUGGUAAGGUAACGGCUUACCAAGACGAUGAUGCAUAGCCGACCUGAGAGGGUGAUCGGCCACACUGGGACUGAGACACGGCCCAG
rnacentral:rRNA from 1 species